rnacentral:rRNA from 1 species
GGGGAAUAUUGGACAAUGGGCGGAAGCCUGAUCCAGCAAUGCCGCGUGUGUGAAGAAGGCCUGAGGGUCGUAAAGCACUUUUGUUAGGGAGGAAGGAGUAUAUAUUAAUACUAUAUACAACUGACGUUACCUAAAGAAUAAGCACCGGCUAACUCUGUGCCAGCAGCCGCGGUAAUACAGAGGGUGCAAGCGUUAAUCGGAAUUACUGGGCGUAAAGGGUGCGUAGGUGGAUACGUAAGUCAGAUGUGAAAUCCCCGGGCUUAACCUGGGAACUGCAUAUGAUACUGCGAAUCUAGAGUAUGGUAGAGGUAAGUGGAAUUUCCGGUGUAGCGGUGAAAUGCGUAGAUAUCGGAAGGAACAUCAGUGGCGAAGGCGACUUACUGGACUGAUACUGACACUGAGGCACGAAAGCGUGGGGAGCAAAC